rnacentral:rRNA from 1 species
UACGUAGGGUGCAAGCGUUAUCCGGAAUUAUUGGGCGUAAAGAGCUCGUAGGCGGUUUGUCGCGUCUGCUGUGAAAACUGGAGGCUCAACCUCCAGCCUGCAGUGGGUACGGGCAAACUAGAGUGCGGUAGGGGAGAUUGGAAUUCCUGGUGUAGCGGUGGAAUGCGCAGAUAUCAGGAGGAACACCGAUGGCGAAGGCAGAUCUCUGGGCCGUAACUGACGCUGAGGAGCGAAAGCGUGGGGAGCGAACAGG